rnacentral:rRNA from 1 species
UACAGAGGUCCCAAGCGUUGUUCGGAUUCAUUGGGCGUAAAGGGUGCGUAGGCGGUUUCCUAAGUCUGGUGUGAAAUCUCGGAGCUCAACUCCGAAACUGCACUGGAUACUGGGAGACUUGAGUACUGGAGGGGAGACUGGAAUUUACGGUGUAGCAGUGAAAUGCGUAGAUAUCUGGAGGAACACCGGUGGCGAAGGCGGCGUUCUGGACUGCAACUGACACUGAGAGACGAAAGCCAGGGGAGCAAACGGG